AGUGAACGCUGGCGGUAGGCCUAACACAUGCAAGUCGAACGGCAGCACAGUAAGAGCUUGCUCUUACGGGUGGCGAGUGGCGGACGGGUGAGGAAUACAUCGGAAUCUACUUUUUCGUGGGGGAUAACGUAGGGAAACUUACGCUAAUACCGCAUACGACCUACGGGUGAAAGCAGGGGAUCUUCGGACCUUGCGCGAUUGAAUGAGCCGAUGUCGGAUUAGCUAGUUGGCGGGGUAAAGGCCCACCAAGGCGACGAUCCGUAGCUGGUCUGAGAGGAUGAUCAGCCACACUGGAACUGAGACACGGUCCAGACUCCUACGGGAGGCGGCUGUGGGGAAUAUUGGACAAUGGGCGCAGGCCUGAUCCAGCCAUACCGCGUGGGUGAAGAAGGCCUUCGGGUUGUAAAGCCCUUUUGUUGGGAAAGAAAAGCAGCAGGUUAAUACCCCGCUGUUCUGACGGUACCCAAAGAAUAAGCACCGGCUAACUUCGUG
rnacentral:rRNA from 1 species